GUCUCCGUAGCGCAAUGGAUAGCGCGUUGAAAUUCACAUCCAAAGGUCAUGGGUUCGAAUCCCACCUGGGAUU